UAAUACCCAGCUUCCAGGAAAAGCCUCUAAGCUUCAGUCAUAGAGUGACCGUACCGCAAACCGACACAGGUGGGCUGGUAGAGAAUACCAAGGCGCUUGAGAGAACUCAGGAGAAGGAACUCGGCAAAUUGAUACCGUAACUUCGGGAGAAGGUAUGCCCCUGGUACGUGAAGGCCCUUGCGGCCGGAGCGGAACGGGGUCGCAGAGAAUCGGUGGCUGCGACUGUUUAUUAAAAACACAGCACUCUGCAAACACGAAAGUGGACGUAUAGGGUGUGACGCCUGCCCGGUGCCGGAAGGUUAAGUGAUGGGGUGCAAGCUCUUGAUCGAAGCCCCGGUAAACGGCGGCCGUAACAAUAACGGUCCUAAGGUAGCGAAAUUCCUUGUCGGGUAAGUUCCGACCUGCACGAAUGGCGUAACGAUGGCCACACUGUCUCCUCCUGAGACUCAGCGAAGUUGAAAUGUUUGUGAAGAUGCAAUCUCCCCGCGGCUAGACGGAAAGACCCCAUGAACCUUUACUGUAGCUUUGCAUUGGACUUUGACGGGACUUGUGUAGGAUAGGUGGGAGGCUUUGAAGCCGGGACGCUAGUUCCGGUGGAGCCAUCCUUGAAAUACCACCCUGGUGUCGUCGAGGUUCUAACCCAGGCCUGUGAAUCCAGGUCGGGGACCGUGCAUGGUGGGCAGUUUGACUGGGGCGGUCUCCUCCCAAAAGGUAACGGAGGAGUACGAAGGUCACCUAGGUACGGUCGGACAUCGUACUGAUAGUGCAAUGGCAAAAGGUGGCUUGACUGCGAGACCCACAAGUCGAGCAGGUGCGAAAGCAGGUCAUAGUGAUCCGGUGGUUCUGUAUGGAAGGGCCAUCGCUCAACGGAUAAAAGGUACUCUGGGGAUAACAGGCUGAUUCCGCCCAAGAGUUCACAUCGACGGCGGAGUUUGGCACCUCGAUGUCGGCUCAUCACAUCCUGGGGCUGUAGCCGGUCCCAAGGGUAUGGCUGUUCGCCAUUUAAAGUGGUACGUGAGCUGGGUUUAAAACGUCGUGAGACAGUUUGGUCCCUAUCUGCCGUGGGCGCUGGAAGUUUGAGAGGGCCUGCUCCUAGUACGAGAGGACCGGAGUGGACGCACCCCUGGUGUACCGGUUGUGACGCCAGUCGCAUCGCCGGGUAGCUAUGUGCGGAAGAGAUAACCGCUGAAAGCAUCUAAGCGGGAAACUCGCCUCAAGAUGAGACUUCCCCGGGGCCUCGAGCCCCCUGAAGGGUCGUUGAAGACCACAACGUUGAUAGGUCGGGUGUGUAAGCGUGGCAACACGUUCAGCUAACCGAUACUAAUUGCCCGUGUGGCUUGAUCC
rnacentral:rRNA from 1 species